AGAGAGUUGGCUGAGUGGUCUAAAGCGGUAACCUGCUAAGUUACUGGUCGGAGUAAUCCGGCCCAAGGGUUCGAAUCCCUUACUCUCUG
rnacentral:tRNA from 1 species